CUGGUGUGUUGUGUUUGAAUUCCCAUAGACAAAUUCCUUGUCGUUUUUAACCUGUAAAAAAAUUUAAAAUCCAUCAGUGGGUGAAGGACAACAUUUGAUAUGAGAUCACUUGAGUUGCCAAGAGAAGCUGGCCAAACCUGACUGGAAGGGGAGUCUGGUAGGAAUGACGAUGGAGCAGCAAUGGCUGGAGUUUCUGGGAGCAACUCGGGAGGUAUGUAAUGUCUAAAGGACCAGUGUUUGAGUAAAUGAGACUCACCAAACUUUCUCCUGACUGAAUCACCGGAAUCUCCGAGUCAGAUGGGUCCUCUCC